CCAAUUAUCGAUAUACGGACCGCGAAUUUUUAACAGAUAUAGCUUCCCUAGCAUAUCGCCAUUCUUCUCAGCCAUUAAUGGAAUGCGCACAUUGCCAAACGUGGAAGGUGUAGAUUCAAUCUAGAGAGCUCGGAGUGCAUUUCGUCGAACCAGGAGUGUAUGUUCACUGUUCUGUACAACACUUCCGUAAUGGCAAAUUGAGGCAAAUGCGUUUAUGAAGAGAUAAAUUUGACGUAAAAUACCUACCAUCCACAUAAAUCCAAAAGGGCGACUUCAGGCAAAUGCGGCUUUAUUUGAGAGAUUGUAGAUCAUAAACAGAGCAUAGGCAAGUCGCCGGUUAACUUUAGAGAUUUCAAAUGGGCACAACGAAAGAAUAGUGAGAAAGGUGAAGAAAAUUGAGAAAGCGGCAGGCAGGCAUGUCACUUUCUACAAGCGGAGGAAGGGUUUGAUAAAAAAAAGCGCAGGAGCUUUCCAUUAUGUGCAACGCGGAUGUAGGGGUCAUCAUUUUUUCUGCAACAGGGAAGCUCUUCGAGUACUCCAA